ensembl:lncRNA
CCCGAAAGCAGCGGCAGCGGCGGGAAGGGGCUCCAAGGAGCAAAGAAUGGCGGCGAGGCGCUGCCGGGAGCAGCAGAAGGCAGCGAGGAGAAGCCGUGAAGCUGCAGAGCGGCGGAGUUGUCUUUUUUCCUUCCCAGGCUGGAAUCUUCCUUCCGCCUUGCUGUGCUGUGGGGAGCAGCUGGAGGCGAUUCUCUUGCAUGAGCGAGGGGUGCAGCCUGGUUCCACCCGGCCCUGAGCUCACGGAAGGGCUGGCUGCCCGCAGGGAAGGAGCUCUGCUUGAGGUCUGCUCCUGGGUGGGCUUUUGUGUGCCCUGUUCCUCAGGAAGGGGUAAGCAGUGCUGGGGUUAUUUGCUAGAUGGAGUGCGUUUGUGUUUCUUGGCUUCCUGAAAGCUGUGUCUGUCUUUUUCACUGCCGGCUGGAGAGACUCGGGGGAGAAAGCGUUGUGCUUGAUGGCACGGUUUCCUUGGGCAAAGGAUGCUUUGGCAGCAGAGGUUUGCUGUCAGGAGGCAUGAAAGCACUGAAGCCAAUGCUGCCGUGCCCUGGGCCCAGAGACAUCAGCUCCCAGCACGUCCCUGGCGGUGGAUGUGUGCAAGCUCUGUGUCUGCCGGUGGUUGCUCCAAAGGCUUUGUGGUCAGCUGUGCGUGGCUGUUUUGCUCUUGAGGGCGUGGGAACAGAGGGCAACACGCUGAUGGGAGUGAUGGUGUCCUGCUCAGCAAAGGAUGUGCUGGGUGGCAGAAGAGGAUUCUUGGCCGAGCGUGGAAAAUCUCUCUGCUCCUUCCUGAAGGACGCAAUCUUCCACUUGGAAAGGGCCUCCCAAGGAUCCCUGGAAUCCUCUGAGAGCUCUGAGCUGCCACACCAAUUUGAAGCUGACUUCAUUUUUGGUCUUCCCCUUCAGCAGAAAAGCUCAGACAGCCGAGCCAAGCGAGACGCUGGAUUUCCUUUGGCAUCAAGGAAAGCAUCGUGAGAUGUUCUGAUGCCCUCUCACAAUUCUUUCUCCCUCCGCCAGCACCAGAGCUGGCGUCCAAAGACGCAAUGACACUGCCACAGGCAUUGUGGAGAUUUCUAUGGGAUAGGGCCAUGGUAAGGCUUUAUUGACAGAGGGAGGGACAAUGAAGAUUGGAUGUCAGGGAGAAGGUCUUUCCAGAGACGGUGGUGAGAUGCUGGAAGCGGAUGCCCAGAGAGCUUGUGGACGCCGCGUCCGUGGCAGUGUUGAAGGCCAGGUUGGAUUGGGCACUCGGCAGCCUAGUCUAGGAUUAGAUAUGAUGCAGAUGGGAUUCAAGCAUCUGUUUUGCAGCCAGCUCGAGUGGAGGUCUUGGAGCUCAUGGGCGCCCCAUGCCUGCAUCAGCGUGGGUAGUGUGUGCCCUUCCUGCGCGGUGGGGCUUUGCUGUUUGGAGGCUGACGCUGAGGAGACUGUGUUUCUUCGUUUAUCGGUGGCAGAAAUCCAGCUCUGUCAGCAGAGGACUCCUGCGGCUGGCUGGCCUCAGCCUGAGAUGUUGAUGCUUCCAUCUCCUCAGGUUCUUUCUGCCUGCUCUUCUUAGCCCUGCGCCUGAGAAGUCUGACUGAGUCGCAUGCCAGAAGUGGAAGCCGGGAUGGAGUGCCUUGCGAUGCCUGCGACGGGCUGGACUGAGCCCUUGAGGAAGGUCUGGAAUUGUUGCUGAAAGAUUCGUUGGCUUUGGGCAACUUCAGCACCGCAGCCACACGAUGGGCUUUUUCCGCUUCCCGUUCUUCCUCACGGAAGCUCACGUGUUUGGUUCCCGGGGCUCGGCCCAGGUCUUCUUGGCUGUCUGUUUCUGCCUGGCCCUGCAGCUGGCAGGUCAGCGGCUGCUUUUGGUCUUCAGGCACUCCAGGGAUGGCUGGCAGCAGACUGAAAGGACAGAGCAGGAGGGGUCCGCCUGAGUGGGUGAUGGUUUUGGGGCCGCGUCCUGCAAGCCGGAGCCAGGACCCUUGGCUGCAAUGCAGCCUUCCCCACAGACAGCUCAGCGGCUGCCCCGUGGCUCUCCCCCGUGGGAUCCAGAGAGGGGCCAGCCCUGUGAGCUGGGGGGCUCCUGGCGUCCCCAUCCCAGCACUGUUGGGCA